ensembl:lncRNA
CUGCCCUGCAGGCUCGAGCCCACCAGGACGCCCGCGGGCCUAGGCCGGGGAGGGACAGUGAGGGACAGAGUGGGGCAUCGAGGGACAGUGUGGAACAGCAUGGGACCGAGUGGGACGGCGCGAGACAGUGAGGGACAGUAAGGCCAUGUUGGUGAGGGCCUUUCAUGGGAGAGUUGAGAGUGGGUCUGCCCGGCCACCUCUCCUCUGACCACAUGUUUGGCAAUCAAGGCCAGGCCCUGGUGGCAGUUGACCCGGCCAGGGCCACCUACCGGCUUCCAGAAGGAGCGCUCCCACCCCUACCCUGGCGUCCCCUUGAGUUCCCAAUCUCAUGUUUACCUAGACCCACUCCGACCUCAACAUCUCUUGGCGUUGGGGCAGCCACUGAUGCCCAAGGACAGCACGCCAGCAAGCCGCGGGAGGAGGUUUCUCCGGGCGCCAGUGAUGCAACUUAGGCUUAUAGUUUAACCGAAGAAGCUGUCCUUGGAGUGAGAACAGGGGAGGUUCUGGCUCGGAAACCUUAGAAUCAGACACUGCCUUCCCAAAGAUGUUGGUUCUGUCUCUCCUCUCCCAGUAAUACGAGUCAUGUAUGUGUUCUUCUAUUCUGGAUGAAAGAAGAAUGAGAAAAGUGAUGUGGUGACGACAAGCCUACACUCUGCGUGUUUCCACUGAGGAGCCUAUACAACCUUGAGCCAAAGAAGGGGAUCUGGCACAGUGCAGUUUCAGACACCAGCAGUUCUUGGAGAGAGACGCUGCUGGCAGGGAGCAUCUUCCCAGCAUCUCUGAAGGGAAGGGCGUCAGUUCUUCUAACUCUGGGACAUGAAGACCUGUACCUAUCCUUGGCAGUAAUUAUGGCUCAGACAGGAGACAAGAAGGCAGGCAGAGAGAGAGAGACAAAUGCAGAGUUUUGGUCAGCUCCUUGGUCUUCACCCACUCAGGGAUAAAUUCUACCACAUAAAGGAAAUGCUGAAUCAAAGGGACUGAACAUCUUUAAAAACUUUUUCAAUUGCCAAAGUGCAACCAGAUUAUUGGACCACUUGGGACAUCCACCAGCAGUACAGUGCCCAUUUGAUGACACACUCUCCAACUUCAGAUUUUUUGGCUUCCCUUGACUGUGACAGUUUCUCAGACUUCCUGUUUGUGAUGAUCUUCACAGUUUUGAGGUGCCUGGUCUGGUAUUUUGUCGAAUGUCCCUCAUUGGGAUUUAUCUAAUAUUUUUCUCAUGAUGUUAUUGGUUUUGGGGAGGAAGACCAUAGAGGUAAAGUGUCAUUUUCAUCACAUCAUAUCAAGGAUACAUGCUGUUACCAUGAUUUGUCACUGUUGAUGUUGACCCUGACCUGAGGAAUACAGAGCCUUUUUUUUUUUUUUGAGGAAGAUUAGCCCUGAGCUAACUGCUGCCAAUCGUCCUCUUUUCGCUGAGAAAGGCUGGCCCUGAGCUCACAUCCGUGUCCAUCUUCCUCUACUUUAUAUGUGGGACGCCUACCACAGCAUGGGUGCCAAGCGGUGCCAUGUCCGCACCUGGGAUCCCAACCGGCGAACCCCGGGCCCCCAAAGCGGAACUUGCACACUUAACCACUGAACCACUGGGCCGGCCCCUACAGUGCCUUUUAAAGCCCAUACAAACAAAAUCAGUGAUGUUGAGGUCAGGUCAACUAUUCUGAACAAAAUUUGGAGGUUCAAGUAAUCUUUGAAUCCUCGUGAAAACUGUGCAGUAGCUGGAAGAACUGUUGUGUUCGUUGCAGUUCAUGGACCUGGAUGAUAUGCUGAUGGGAAUUCCCUAAGUGUAAGGGUAAUUUUAUUCACUGUGUUUUUGGUGAUGUCACGAGUUAGGAAUUAAAGUUAGAACAGAAAGUCUUAAGAGCAGUUCUUUAAAAUAUUUAUGUAGCAUAUUGUUUGAACUACAGACAUUUUUGCUUGCAUCGCCAUGGGGGUAAGAACAUCUGUGUGUGUCUGUAUCCCAGAUGUAGCCUUUGAUUUUCUCGAAUUGUUCUGCAGAGGAACACAUCUUAUCUAGAAACGAUUCAGCUGUCUUGUUUCCAUUAUUCUUGUUUCCAUUCAGUGGGUAAACCUUUUGAAUGCCUGAGCAGUUAAAUUCCCCACAUCCUACAUUUAUCAUUUCCAGGAGCCAAUAAGAAAGGUUAGUAAAGUGAAUCUGAAUGAUUUAUUUGUACAGAACGGAUGAAUUUCCUCUUAGUCGUACAUCCGACACCCACAUGAUACCUCAUCUCUGAUGCUGGGAAGGAAGAUUUUCAGGAGAAAUUUGAUGCCCAAUUAGUGUGUUUUAAUUUAGUCAGUGGAAUUUCCAUCUGGCUCUAAUGUGUAUUCUGGAGGGUUAGACUAGAACAGAGUUGAACAAUUUAUUGGUUUGUGAGGUGAGGUCAGUAGGUACAAAGAACAUUUCACACAAGCAGGAUUUUAGACAUGCUGAGGUUUUCACCUCUUUUUGUUAGUUACAGGAUAGUUGGGGACAGAGAAAGCACAUGCUACUUAUUUUGUGAUUAAGCACUUAAUAUAAAUAGUUUAAAAUAAGAAACAACUUCACAAAAAUAGAUGAUAGAUGUCUUCUCUUCUAAAGAAAUUGGAAAUUUAC